rnacentral:rRNA from 1 species
AACGAACGCUGGCGGCAGGCUUAACACAUGCAAGUCGAACGCCCCGCAAGGGGAGUGGCAGACGGGUGAGUAACACGUGGGAACGUGCCCUAAGGUUUGGAAUAUUCCCGGGAAACUGGGAGCAAUACCAAAUGUGUCCGCAAGGAGAAAGAUUUAUCGCCUUAGGAUCGGCCCGCGUCAGAUUAGGUAGUUGGUGGGGUAAUGGCCUACCAAGCCGACGAUCUGUAGCUGGUCUGAGAGGACGACCAGCCACACUGGGACUGAGACACGGCCCAGACUCCUACGGGAGGCAGCAGUGGGGAAUCUUGGACAAUGGGCGCAAGCCUGAUCCAGCCAUGCCGCGUGGAUGAUGAAGGCCCUAGGGUUGUAAAAUCCUUUCGUUGGGGACGAUAAUGACGGUACCCAAAGAAGAAGCUCCGGCUAACUUCGUGCCAGCAGCCGCAGUAAAAC